CAAAUUUCAAUAUUUCUGUCGCCAUACCAAAGGGUUCUCGUGUUAUGCGUUUUCAUAUUCAAUCUUCUUCAACUCUGAUUUCCAAAUAAUUAUACGUUGAUAUUAGUAGUUUAUUGUCGAUUUUGCCGUGAAGCUUUUCACCUUUUCUACUUUUGUAAAUAACUCGGAGGCAAAAAAAUUCACUGAACGGACACAAAUUUUCCAAACCACCUUCCUUUUAUGAAUGCGUUACACAACUUAAAUUCCCCUUAAUUGACUCAUUCCUUUCUUCAUACGAGGCUGAUUUCAUACAGGAGCUCCUUCAGAAGAAACCGGUAUACUUUAACUUUACUUCCCGCUAUAACGAUAAUGUUCUCUCCCAAGAUAAUUGAUUUAAA
rnacentral:lncRNA from 1 species